rnacentral:rRNA from 1 species
GAUGAACGCUGGCGGCGUGCCUAAUACAUGCAAGUCGAGCGAACAGACGAGGAGCUUGCUCCUCUGACGUUAGCGGCGGACGGGUGAGUAACACGUGGAUAACCUACCUAUAAGACUGGGAUAACUUCGGGAAACCGGAGCUAAUACCGGAUAAUAUAUUGAACCGCAUGGUUCAAUAGUGAAAGACGGUUUUGCUGUCACUUAUAGAUGGAUCCGCGCCGCAUUAGCUAGUUGGUAAGGUAACGGCUUACCAAGGCGACGAUGCGUAGCCGACCUGAGAGGGUGAUCGGCCACACUGGAACUGAGACACGGUCCAGACUCCUACGGGAGGCAGCAGUAGGGAAUCUUCCGCAAUGGGCGAAAGCUUGACGGAGCAACGCCGCGUGAGUGAUGAAGGUCUUCGGAUCGUAAAACUCUGUUAUUAGGGAAGAACAAAUGUGUAAGUAACUAUGUACGUCUUGACGGUACCUAAUCAGAAAGCCACGGCUAACUACGUG